CGAGCUCGAGCGAGCUUAUGUCAGCUCAAAUUCGGCUUGAAAUUAAUUUCGAGCCUAAAUCUAGGCUCAAGCUCGGCUUAAAAUUAAUUCGAGCCGAGCUCGAGCAAGCCUAAUUUCGAGUCGAGCUGAGCUCGAGCUCUAAACGAGCCGAUUGAAAUUCUCGACAUUAUAUAAUCAAUAGUUUAAUUUUUAUAGAACAUUACCUAUAAUUUGAUGCAACAUGUCCAAUAGUUCAAAAUACAAAAUAAUUAUAAAAAAUGUGAGCUAGGGUGACUUCCUGACUCGAUGAGGGUCUGAGAGAGAGAGAGAGAGAGAGAGAGAGAGAGAGGAAAAAAAGUAGGGAUUUGAAAAUUUGAAUGUUAUCAUGUUUUAGGGUUAUGUGCAACAGUGAAAGUCUGAAAGAGAGAGUGUGUUAUGUAAAUUUAGAGUUGGGCUCAAUUGCACGGUUGUACUUGUUGGGUUUAUUUUAUGGGCCAACAAUAAUGGCCCAAAUUAAAUUAAAGCCUAUAUAUAAUUAAAAUACAUUAUAUUUAUAAAUAUUAUAUAUAUAUAUAUAUAGAGUCCGGCUACUAUACUUUUAUGAGUAUUGGCUCCUUUAUACUCAUAAGUUUUCGACCCUUAAAUUUAUUCCAUUAAUCAUUUUCAUCCGUUAGAUCAUACUAUUUAACCAACUACCCACUCAACCCUAGGGGACCACUAUCAUUCUAAGUGGGGACCACCAUCAUCCUAACCACACAUUCCAUCAAUCAACGGUUAAAAAUUUAUGAGUACAAGGGGGUCUAUACUCAUAAGAGUAUAGUAGCCCCGGCCUAUAUAUAUAUAUAUAUAUAUAUUUUCGAGCUUUUCGAGCCUAAUUCAAACGAGCUGAGUAAUACUCAAGCUCGGCUUGAAAUGAAUUUCGAGCCUUUUAUGUUGUUCAAGCUCGGCUCAUUUAAUUUCGAGUCGAGCUCGAGCGAGC
rnacentral:lncRNA from 1 species